AUUUCAAUCAUUCACACUGGCAUGCUCAACUUCUAUCUGUGGACAUGUUGUCACGCUGUUUGUACGCACAAAGAACGGCGUAACGUAUUAUCAUCUGGUAUUGCUAAAAAUGGCUAACCGGGCUAAAGCUAAUGGAAACAAUGAAACUCCGACUUGUAAAUGGAACGCAUUCAACUUGGGUGCAACGUCAUUCCCCGCUCUGGCUUCCGAGUUCCGAGGUAAAUGGAACACACUUACGUGCUCCUUAGUGCUCUCCUUCCAUAGG